rnacentral:rRNA from 1 species
ACGCUGGCGGCACGCCUAAUACAUGCAAGUCGAACGCAGUAGCAAUACUGAGUGGCAGACGGGUGAGUAUAAUGUGGGUAUCUGCCUUUUGGUUUGGAAUAACUUGGGGAAACUCGAGCUAAUACCGGAUAAGCCCUUACGGGGAAAGCUUUAUGCGCCAAGAGAUGAGCCCGCACUUGAUUAGCUUGUUGGUGAGGUAAAGGCUCACCAAGGCAACGAUCAAUAGCUGUUCUUAGAGGAAGACCAGCCACAUUGGGACUGAGACACGGCCCAGACUCCUACGGGAGGCAGCAGUAGGGAAUCUUGCACAAUGGGGGAAACCCUGAUGCAGCGAUGCCGCGUGAGUGAAGAAGGCCUUUGGGUUGUAAAACUCUUUCGUCGGGGAAGAAAAUGACGGUACCCGAAUAAGAAGGUCCGGCUAACUUCGUGCCAGCAGCCGCGGUAAUACGAAGGGAUCUAGCGUAGUUCGGAAUUACUGGGCUUAAAGAGCUCGUAGGUGGUUAAAAAAGUUGAUGGUGAAAUCCCAAGGCUUAACCUUGGAACUGCCAUCAAAACUUUUUAGCUAGAGUAUGAUAGAGGAAAGUGGAAUUUCUAGUGUAGAGGUGAAAUUCGUAGAUAUUAGAAAGAACACCAAAUGCGAAGGCAACUUUCUGGAUCAUUACUGACACUGAGGAGCGAAAGCAUGGGUAGCGAAGAGGAUUAGAUACCCUCGUAGUCCAUGCUGUAAACGAUGUGUGCUAGACGUUGGAAACAUAGUUUUCAGUGUCGCAGCGAAAGCAUUAAGCACACCGCCUGGGGAGUACGACC